UUGACCUCGAAUCAGGU
rnacentral:rRNA from 3 species